AAGCAACCGACAGCGCAUUAUCAAUCUCUUCAAUUCAAGCUAAGUAGCAGCAAUGGUCCAUUAUCUUCUGAACAAACCCUAGACGUGGAUGAUGAGCAAAUGGUCAUGCAGAAGGAUUACGUCAGUCUGCAUGGGCUUCAUAGGCCUGGCUGAGAAUGAAGUAGUGGCCAUUCUGAUGGGAGGUAAUUCAGGUGUACAACCUCUGCACAGACCAGUGGGAUUGAGAAUUAACCACGAGACAUUCUAAGGUUAUUGUGCCUAUUGGAGGUGUGAUGACCCCAUCAGCGUGGGAUUGAAUGGCUGGUAUGGAGGUACAGGUGUGCCUCAACACUGCUUGGACAUGCACCAAUCUGGGUUUUGAUGGGUAUGGCUGUCACUAGUUCUUGCAACUGGCUCUGGGUGAUGUGACCGGCACUGACCGACUACACUUCCAUGGUUAUGGCCCUAUUCCAGGGUUUUAAGGUCUUGGUACACCAACCAAGUUGGAUGAGGCCCCAUCAAGGUGUUUCCCUGGCUUGUCACUUAUUGCUUAUCAGUUGCGUCAGGAGACCUGUUCAGAAUGUGUGAAAUCGUUGACUAACUGUUCAAUUGUGUGGGACUUUGUCUCAACCUGCAACCAACCUGUCCUGUAUUUCAUCAAUAAAUAUAACAAUCAGUCAACUAAUUCGAUUCCAGCUUAACUUAGACCUGGAGGUCUGACAAAUUACACAUAAAUGCCAUAUAAUGCUAAAAUAUCUAUAGUAGCUUUGACACUCGAGGUGCGCAUGCAAGUUGUUGGCCUGCCAAAACGAGUACGUUCUGUCAUUCAGGGCAGAGCCCCGCUUUUGUGGAAUUUGCCAUUAAAAUAUCUUAAAACAAUGUAAAUAAAGCUACAACCAUGUCUGUGUCGAGAUGCACAUGUUUCAGCCCCGCUCAAUAGAGUGGUGUACUGUGACCAAGUGUUCUGUUCAUCAUUGCACAUCACGAAGUCUGAGGGUGGUGCUCAAAUUCUAUCCCCUUGGCUGCUGCCAUGGAUUUACGUUAGAAAUGCUCAAGGCCAUUGGCCAGUGAUACAUGUACAGUGGCUUUGACUGGCCUGAUCAUGGCACAUCACUUAAAUCCUUUUUGAUCUUUGCCAUAUGAAGAAAAAAUAUCUGUAAUAGGCUGUUGGAAAUAAACAUUACAGAUGGUG